CUAAUAAGAAUAUGAAUGUAGAUAUGAUUCAGAUCCUCCAGGAGUACAUAAUUUCAUUGAUCAAUGAACAAAAAUUAUACAAUUAAAAGGAUGUUUAUAGGAAACCCCAGAAUUAAAUUACUUUUGCACCUACUGCUUUCCUUUCCCACCUCCUUGACGUGAUAGUAUUGGACUUAUAGUCAUUUUGUAUUUUAUCUUUUUCCUGUAAAAAAAUAAGAUGACCAGGAAGUCUUCAUCAAAUACUAUAUAGCUACUUUGUUGCAUCCAUAAAAUCUUUUAGAGAUGCACUCUGCAGGCAAUAAUGGUACUAAUGAAAACAUGAGGAGAGAAUAGUCGAGCUGUUGUAGAUAUUCUUCUAGAGAGACCACAGGUUCACAACAAUGAAGUUUACUGAUGUAGUACAGAAUAUAGGAACAUACAUUCAAAUCUGCAAGGUACCUUAUAAUACAGUGAGUCCAACUCUGGUUUUCCAGGUGAAAGAACCUUAAGCUGAGAGGAGUUAAAUGACUUUGCCAAGGUUACAAAAUGAACAAAUGUUUGAAGAAUGUGGAAAAAAAAAAAGAUUGAUAUAUCAAUUGAAGGAAUGUCUCCUUAGAGCUUUUUGGAGUAAAGUCACAUAAGGAAGGUAAUAUUCAAAAUCUGCAGAGUUCUUACAGAAUACUUGCAUCAAUAUUAAGGUGAGCAUUAACUCUUACAACUAUGGUGAUGAAUAUGUAAUUGAAUGGUGGAAUUUUGUCAAGAUACAAGUUCUCCUACAUUGAUGUAAGCUUGGAAUUUUUAAUUUUCAAUAAUAAAUUAUAUUAAAUA
rnacentral:lncRNA from 1 species